rnacentral:rRNA from 1 species
CCUACGGGAGGCAGCAGUAGGGAAUAUUGCUCAAUGGGGGAAACCCUGAAGCAGCAACGCCGCGUGGAGGAUGAAGGUUUUCGGAUUGUAAACUCCUUUUGUUAGAGAAGAUAAUGACGGUAUCUAACGAAUAAGCACCGGCUAACUCCGUGCCAGCAGCCGCGGUAAUACGGAGGGUGCAAGGGUUACUCGGAAUCACUGGGCGUAAAGAGCGCGUAGGCGGGAUAGCAAGUCAGAUGUGAAAUCCUAUGGCUUAACCAUAGAACUGCAGUUGAAACUGUUAUUCUAGAGUAUGGGAGAGGUAGGUGGAAUUCUUGGUGUAGGGGUAAAAUCCGUAGAGAUCAAGAGGAAUACUCAUUGCGAAGGCGACCUGCUAGAACAUAUCUGACGCUGAUGCGCGAAAGCGUGGGGAGCGAACAGGAUUAGAUACCCCUGUAGUC